UACGGAGGGAGCUAGCGUUGUUCGGAAUUACUGGGCGUAAAGCGCGCGUAGGCGGCCUUGCAAGUUAGAGGUGAAAGCCCGGAGCUCAACUCCGGAACUGCCUUUAAAACUGCAUAGCUUGAAUCCGGGAGAGGUGAGUGGAAUUCCGAGUGUAGAGGUGAAAUUCGUAGAUAUUCGGAAGAACACCAGUGGCGAAGGCGGCUCACUGGACCGGUAUUGACGCUAAGGUGCGAAAGCGUGGGGAGCAAACAGG
rnacentral:rRNA from 1 species